rnacentral:rRNA from 1 species
UACAGGGGGUGCAAACGUUGUUCGGAAUUACUGGGCGUAAAGCGCGUGUAGGCGGCCCUGCAAGUCGGAUGUGAAAUCCCACGGCUCAACCGUGGAAGUGCAUUCGAAACUGCAGGGCUAGAGUCCUGGAGAGGAAGGUGGAAUGCUUGGUGUAGAGGUGAAAUUCGUAGAUAUCAAGCGGAACACCGGUGGCGAAGGCGGCCUUCUGGACAGUGACUGACGCUGAGACGCGAAAGCGUGGGGAGCAAACAGG